UGGGUGUCGCCUCUCCUGAGUCAGAAUGU
rnacentral:piRNA from 1 species